AUGUAGGUGUCAUACCACCAAUUAAAAGUCCCUAUCUGUUCAACCAAAUUUUGCAAUUUUCACAGCUUUCUAAAUAUCUUACCUUGAGUUUAACUUCAUAGAAAGUUCAAACUAGGUAUAUCCUGAAUUGUACAUGUAUCAGCUUUCUACAUGUCAAUUUUCACUAUACCUUUAAAGCCUUCUAACAAAAAAAAAAAAAACUGACCUCCGAACAGAGGUACUCCAAAAAUAACCCCUGGUUUUCUGGAAAUCUUAAAUUAGUAUACUAUGGAGCGCAUUAAUCCUCAAUUUUUAAUGCAAACUCAUAGACAAGUAAAUUUUGGCUCAAAAUGGUCUAGAUAUAUUUCUAUUUCACCAAAAGUUUCAUUUCUGCAAAUUUGUUGGUUAGUUUAAGUAAACAAGGACA
rnacentral:lncRNA from 1 species